AGCCUCCUGGUUAGCUCAGAUGGUUGAGGGACUGCCCCGGAAAAGCCUUGGUCCCGGAUUCGAUCCCCAAACCAUGACGAAUUUUUCUUCUUCAUUCUGAGAAAUCCGUAAGGGUUUCCUUUGAAGCUUCAUGCUACGAUCGGGUGGAUGACAAUUAUCCCUUUCGUGAACUUUACCCCGCCUUGUGCGCUUCCGCAGAACUGACUUGCCAAAAAUAAAGGGUGACGAAUUAGCUGCAAAACAAACAUGUACUGUCUACAUGAGCAAGCAUACCGAUGGUCAUAUUAAUAUUAAGCACGGUGCUAACAGCGAAACCAGUUCCUGUUUCAGUGUAAAUAUAGGUAGUAUGGAAAUUAGUCAACUCAGAAAUAGGUACUGUAUUUAGAACAAUCUUUUAAAAUGUAAACUACCUAUGUUAAGCAACUUAAAACUGUUCACAUGGCUCUUCACUAAAACUCGAGGCAAAACAUGUCUAUUGCUGAAAACUUUAAUGUUUAGUAUGCAAAUUCAUUUAACGAUCAGUUGUUCAGGAUGUCGGCUGUCCAUGCAUCCCAGUACUCCGCAUUAGAUGUAUCCGCCCAACAUUAAAUUUAAUUUUAGUGGGCAAGGACACAAAAGAAUCCAUUACGCAAUCCUUUUUUUACACAUUUAAAUAAAAAUAUAUUCUACUGCAAAGGCCACACAGCCUUCGACGAAUUUUGCGGAUAUCAAAAUCAAUAUCUCCUGACUCAACAGAAAGCUAGAACUUUAAUAAGAUUGGCAACAAGCUGCAUUAGGAGAAUUAUUAAGCAGAACAAAAGCAAAACCAGUUCCAUAAUGUAUGCAUGCAACUUGAGCAUACAGUUCACAGCAGUUUGCAAGCACACAAAGUCGACAGCACCAUCUGUGCUGUCGGCUAAUAACCACAGGUGCUAUCUGCAAGGGCAUGAGC
rnacentral:lncRNA from 1 species